GCGGGUGUGGCGGAAUUGGCAGACGCACUAGACUUAGGAUCUAGCGCCAUGUGCGUGGGGGUUCAAGUCCCUCCACCCGCA
rnacentral:tRNA from 1 species